AUGGCGCAGCUCGGCUGGGUCGCCGGGUCGGUCACGCUUUUCCUCUUCGCCGUCGUCACGUACUACACCUCCGCGCUCCUCGCCGACUGCUACCGCUGCGACGACGCCGUCACCGGGAAGAGGAACUACACCUACAUGGAGGCCGUCGAGUCCUACCUAGGUAGCAGGCAGGUGUGGUUCUGUGGCCUCUGCCAGUACGUCAAUCUCGUUGGAACUGCAAUUGGGUACACCAUCACAGCAUCGAUCAGCGCCGCGGCUUUGUACAAGGCCGACUGCUUCCACAAGAACGGCCACUCUGCCGACUGCGGCGUGUACACCACCAUGUACAUGGCCGUGUUUGGGAUCUCCCAGGUCGUCUUCUCGCAGCUCCCCAACCUCCACGAGAUAGCCUGGCUGUCGAUCCUCGCCGCGGUCAUGUCCUUCUCCUACUCCGCGAUCGGCGUUGGCCUCGCCUUGGCACAGACCAUAUCAGGUCCUACUGGCAAGACAACAAUGGGCGGCACUGAAAUUGGGGUAGACGUCACUAAUUCAGCCCAGAAGAUAUGGUUGACGCUGCAAGCGCUCGGCAACAUUGCAUUCGCCUACUCAUACUCCAUGGUUCUCAUAGAAAUCCAGGACACGGUGAAGGCGCCUCCGGCCGAGAACAAGACGAUGAGGAGGGCAAACCUAUUGGGGGUCUCCACCACCACGGCCUUCUACAUGCUCUGCGGCUGCCUCGGCUAUGCCGCCUUCGGCAACGCGGCGCCGGGGAACAUGCUCACCGGGUUCGGCUUCUACGAGCCCUUCUGGCUCAUCGACUUCGCCAACAUCUGCAUCGUCGUGCACCUCAUCGGUGCCUACCAGCUGUACUGCCAGCCCAUCUACGCUGCCGUGGAGAAGUGGGCUGCGGCGCGGUGGCCGGGCUCAGACUUCGUGGUCCGCCAGUACCACCCCUUCGCCGGCGGCAAUUUCAGCGUCAGCAUGUUCAAGCUGGUGUGGAGAACGGCGUUCGUCGCCGUAAGCACGGUCCUUGCCAUUUUGAUGCCCUUCUUCAAUGCCAUCCUUGGCCUCCUUGGCGCGCUCGCGUUCUGGCCGCUCACGGUGUACUUCCCCGUGGAGAUGUACAAACGACAGAGCAAAGUGGAGAGGUUUUCCAAGAAGUGGGUGGUGCUGCAGAGCCUGAGCUUCACGUGCUUUGCAGUGACGGUGGCAGUGACCGUCGCUUCCGUGCAGGGGAUCACCCAAUCACUCAACAACUAUGUGCCAUUCAAGACGAAGCUGUGA
rnacentral:rRNA from 1 species